rnacentral:lncRNA from 1 species
AAGCCUCAAUUAGAACAUGGUUAUUUUUAGGCAGUACUCUACUACAGGGCUGUGGCCGGGUAGUACUCCUAAAUCAUCAAAUUUUAUUUCCUUUUAUUACAUGUUCAUGAAAUUUGUAAACCCUGUGGCAAUAUACCUACAGAUUUUAUUAGUGCAACCAUAAAUAAUACUAUAAAUGAAGGCAAGCCUAAUGGAAUCAUACUAACACAUUGCUUUCUAUCUCAUUUGGGGUGUCACUAUUAUCUCGACUAAAAAACAUGGUAAUGCGAGCUAUCACGAAUAAUCAA